GGACCGGGAUGAACAGACCCCUUGUGUACGAGCUGUCGCGCCAGCGGCAUCGCUCGGUAGCGAAGUCUGGAAGAGAUAAAUGCUGAAUGCAUCUAAGCAUGAAGCUCGCCCUAAGAUAAGGUCUCCCAAGGCCAUAAGGCCUAAGAAGGGCAGUCGAAGACUACGACUUUGAUAGGCGGGAGGUGGAAGCACAGUAAUGUGUUGAGCUGACCCGUACUAAUCGCCCGUUCGGCUUAAUCAUAAAAC
rnacentral:rRNA from 1 species